AGAACGAACGCUGGCGGCAGGCUUAACACAUGCAAGUCGAACGCUCGUAGCAAUACGGGAGUGGCAGACGGGUGAGUAACGCGUGGGAACAUACCCUCCGGUUCGGAAUAGCUCAGGGAAACUUGGAUUAAUACCGGAUACGGCCGAGAGGCGAAAGAUUUAUCGCCGGAGGAUUGGCCCGCGUUCGAUUAGCUAGUUGGUGAGGUAACGGCUCACCAAGGCGAUGAUCGAUAGCUGGUCUGAGAGGAUGAUCAGCCACAUUGGGACUGAGACACGGCCCAAACUCCUACGGGAGGCAGCAGUGGGGAAUAUUGGACAAUGGGCGCAAGCCUGAUCCAGCCAUGCCACGUGAGUGAUGACGGCCUUAGGGUUGUAAAGCUCUUUCGCUCGGGACGAUAAUGACGGUACCGAGAUAAGAAGCCCCGGCUAACUUCGUGCCAGCAGCCGC
rnacentral:rRNA from 1 species